UCCUCGAUGGUCUAGUGGUGAUGAUUUCCGCUUGUCAUUGAAAAGUGCCAAGCGCGGGAGACCAGGGUUCGAUUCCCUGUCGGGGAG
rfam:Emmonsia parva TAMH 139 supercont1.582, whole genome shotgun sequence.